rnacentral:rRNA from 1 species
UACGAAGGGGGCAAGCGUUGUCCGGAUUCAUUGGGCGUAAAGAGCUCGUAGGCGGUUCGGCAAGUCGGGUGUGAAAACUCCAGGCUCAACCUGGAGACGCCACCCGAUACUGCUGUGACUUGAGUCCGGUAGGGGACCACGGAAUUCCUGGUGUAGCGGUGAAAUGCGCAGAUAUCAGGAGGAACACCGGUGGCGAAGGCGGGUCUCUGGGCCGAUACUGACGCUGAGGAGCGAAAGCGUGGGGAGCGAACAGG